AAGAGACCUAGAGAGUUUAACGAAAAGUUAAAGUGAACUUCACUGAGAUAAAACCAGAAAAAUAUAAUCACAAGUAUCUCCGAGUGCUUGUAGAUACCUUUUCAGGAAUAGAUAGAAGCUUUCCUCACCAAACGAGAGACGGCCUCUACAAUCAUCAAGAAGAUACUGGAAGAAAUCUUCCCCAGGUCUGGAAUGCCCAAGGUAAUCUGGUCUGACAGCGGCCCUACUUUCGUUGCCAAGGUAAGCCAGGAUGUGGCCAAGUAUUUAGAGGUCGAUUAGAAAUUACAUUAUAUUUACAGACCUCAAAGUUCAGGACAGGUAGAGUAAAUAAAUAGAACUCUAAAAGAGACCCUAAACAAAUUGACUAUGGAGACUGGCACAGACUGGGUGACACUCCUUCCCUCCUGCUCUCUUCAGAGCAAGAAAUACCCCUUCCAAAUUCAGCCUUACCCCCUUUGAGAUCUUAUAUGGGGCCUUAGCUCCCCUGACUGUAUUAGAUGAUGUUACUGAACCAACAUGUCAUAGUAAUAAUGAUUUGUGUGCCAGGCUAAAAGACCUACAGGUGAUACAGAAAGAAAUCUGCUCACAGCUGACAGCAGCCUAUGCCCCGGAGAACCCUGAGACAUCCCAUCAGUUCCAGGUCGGAAGCAGCUACACUGAGCCCAGACACUCGAGCCUUGCUGGAAAGGACCGUACCUGGUGCUGCUGACCACCCUGACAGCCGUCAAUUCUCAGCCCUCACCAGCCGUGUACUAGCUGUUAGGGCUGAGAGCUGGGACCUAGAGGGAAAUUCAGUCAUGUUUGUCCUGGGUUCCAUUGAGAUAGGUGUGGGGAUAGGCUUGAUUUCUAUUACAAAUGAUAUAACAUUACAUAUGUUAGUACUCCUAACACUUCUUGGGACUGUGCCUCAGGGAUCACAACCUAUAUAAGUUUAGAAAUUCUAAAAGACAGUCAUGACCUUGGUGUAUAGGUUCAGAUAGUGUCCAGAUAGAAUCCUGAUGCUAAAGACUUUUUAGCUGACCUCCAAGAAUACCUAACCUCCCUCUCAGAGGUAGUCCUUCAAAAUAAAAAAAGGGUCAAACCUGAUAUUCCUUAAAGAAGGAGCCUGUGUGCUACACUGAAAGAAUGUUGCUUCUAUACAGACCAUUCAGGAAUAAUUAAAGACUCCAUAAAUAAACUUAGAAAAAGGUUAGACAAAAGACAGACAGAAAAACACAUAAGAGAUGGUUCGAGAGCUAGUUUAGUAGAUCUCCCUAGAUGACUACCCUACUCUCUGCUACAGCUGGGCCAUUAUUAAUAAUUUUCUUGUUUUUAGUUUUUGGCCCCUGCGUGACAAACAGGUUAAUUGCUUUUGUUAAAAAUCGAGUGGGUGCGGGGCUGGGGAUUUAGCUCAGUGGUAGAGCGCUUGCCUAGGAAGCGCAAGGUCCUGGGUUCGGUCCCCAGCUUUGAAAAAA
rnacentral:lncRNA from 1 species